UUGGAAUUGGACGCUGCACCUGUCUGGGAGUCUAAAUGAGCAAUUUAAAAGUAAUUAUGCCGAGUAAACUCCUGAUCCAGUGCCAUUGCCCAUCUUUGAACCGUCAGUAUAAGUAUGGGGUCACCAUUACCAUCUUCUGAUAAGACUCUGGUCUGCCAAUGACCUAGAUCAAUUUGCGUACUAUGCUUUUAUAUUUUUCUUGCUCUAAGACACAUUUUUGGGCCACUUACUAGUAAAAAAAUUUUGCUGAAACUGGUAAGACUGUUGCAUUCACUGCUGAUGGCGCUGCUGUGACUGAUGCUUACAAAAGUUAUUGAGUAAUUUCAAACUCGUCUUUGGCGGCAACGAACAUCUUCGUUUUGCUGAAAAACUUGUCCGCAGAUGUUCUAUUCUGAGUGAUUGAGCAAUCGAAGAAAAGCAGUUAGACAGGUCAGCCGUACAAAGCACAAGUAUGGUAGCUUACUUAGGUAAUAUUUGUAUAUAUAUAUGUAUGUAUGUAUGUAUGUAUGAGUAAGUAUAAAACCUGCGAAUGAGUUAACUGGCACUUAGUCAGCCAAGGCGACCAGUUAGACAGCGUGCCAGCCAGCUAGUUGUAAUCAGCAAGGCAAGGUAAUCAGCAACUAGUUAGUCAGCCGGUUUGUGCGCCUUCAGUCCACCACUACCACCACCAUCAUGAACCGCCAGCUCCACAAACAGCAGAUUUCUACUCGCCCUUUUAACUACUGCAGAUGCAUAGAUGUCGAUCUAAACGAUUCACACAUGGCGUGGCGUGUCGUGUCUGCCAUAGUACGCCCGGUUACUUGGCGAUUUCAGAGGGCUGAGACCUUAGAAAUGUGACAGCGAAACAUAGGCAUUUACGCUACCUAUACAUAUGCACAUAUAUUCGCUUAUCGGUUAGAAUUCUAAUCAGCAGAAACUAUUUGAACGAGCAGAUGAAAGUUAUCUACAAACGCAUACAGAAGCGUUAAA